CCAGCUUGCUGGGUGGAUUAGUGGCGAACGGGUGAGUAACACGUGAGUAACCUGCCCCCGACUCUGGGAUAAGCCCGGGAAACUGGGUCUAAUACCGGAUAUUACCUCUUGCCGCAUGGCAGGUGGUGGAAAGAUUUAUCGGUGGGGGAUGGACUCGCGGCCUAUCAGCUUGUUGGUGAGGUAAUGGCUCACCAAGGCGACGACGGGUAGCCGGCCUGAGAGGGUGACCGGCCACACUGGGACUGAGACACGGCCCAGACUCCUACGGGAGGCAGCAGUGGGGAAUAUUGCACAAUGGGCGAAAGCCUGAUGCAGCGACGCCGCGUGAGGGAUGACGGCCUUCGGGUUGUAAACCUCUUUCAGUAGGGAAGAAGCGAAAGUGACGGUACCUGCAGAAGAAGCGCCGGCUAACUACGUGCCAGCAGCCGCGGUAAUACGUAGGGCGCAAGCGUUAUCCGGAUUUAUUGGGCGUAAAGAGCUCGUAGGCGGUUUGUCGCGUCUGCCGUGAAAGUCCGAGGCUCAACCUCGGAUCUGCGGUGGGUACGGGCAGACUAGAGUGAUGUAGGGGAGACUGGAAUUCCUGGUGUAGCGGUGAAAUGCGCAGAUAUCAGGAGGAACACCGAUGGCGAAGGCAGGUCUCUGGGCAUUUACUGACGCUGAGGAGCGAAAGCAUGGGGAGCGAACAGGAUUAGAUACCCUGGUAGUCCAUGCCGUAAACGUUGGGGCACUAGGUGUGGGGG
rnacentral:rRNA from 1 species